UUUAAAGCUGCACUUGAUCAAUCGUUUCCAUCUCACCCUGUCCUCUGUAUCUUCCUCUGUCACACCAACCUCCUGCAUGUCCUCCCUCAGCACAUCUAUAAACUUCCUCUUUGUCCUCCUUCUUCUUGUCCUGCCUGGUGGGUCCAUCCUCAGCAUCCUUCUCCCUAUAUACCCUGGGUCCCUCCUCUGCACAUGUCCAAACCAUCUCAGUCUCGCCUCUCUGACUUUGUCUCCAAACCGUCCCACCUGAGCUGUCCCUCUG